rnacentral:rRNA from 1 species
CCCUUAGAUGUUCUGGGCCGCACGCGCGCUACACUGAUGCAUUCAACGAGUUUCUUCCUGGUCCGAGAGGAAUGGGUAACCUUUUGAAAGUGCAUCGUGAUAGGGAUAGACUAUUGCAAUUAUUGGUCUUCAACGAGGAAUUCCUAGUAGACGUAGUUCAUCAGACUGCAUUGAUUACGUCCCUGCCCUUUGUACACACCGCCCGUCGCACCUACCGAUUGAAUGGUCCGGUGAAGCCUCGGGAUUGUGGCCAGUUCACUUUAUUGGGAGUUGGCUGUGAGAACUUGUCUAAACCUUAUCAUUUAGAGGAAGGUGAAGUCGUAACA